rnacentral:rRNA from 1 species
UGGGGAAUAUUGCACAAUGGGCGCAAGCCUGAUGCAGCCAUGCCGCGUGUGUGAAGAAGGCCUUCGGGUUGUAAAGCACUUUCAGCGAGGAGGAAGGGUAUCGUGUUAAUAGCACGGUGCAUUGACGUUACUCGCAGAAGAAGCACCGGCUAACUCCGUGCCAGCAGCCGCGGUAAUACGGAGGGUGCAAGCGUUAAUCGGAAUUACUGGGCGUAAAGCGCACGCAGGCGGUUUGUUAAGUCAGAUGUGAAAUCCCCGAGCUUAACUUGGGAACUGCAUUUGAAACUGGCAAGCUAGAGUCUUGUAGAGGGGGGUAGAAUUCCAGGUGUAGCGGUGAAAUGCGUAGAGAUCUGGAGGAAUACCGGUGGCGAAGGCGGCCCCCUGGACAAAGACUGACGCUCAGGUGCGAAAGCGUGGGGAGCAAACA